rnacentral:rRNA from 1 species
UGGAUCCAGACUUUGAUUUCUGGCUCAGGACGAACGCUGGCGGCGCGCCUAACACAUGCAAGUCGAAUGAGAGAUGAGGAGCUUGCUCUUCAAAUCGAGUGGCGAACGGGUGAGUAACGCGUGAGGAACCUGCCUCAAAGAGGGGGACAACAGUUGGAAACGACUGCUAAUACCGCAUAAGCCCACGGCUCGGCAUCGAGCAGAGGGAAAAGGAGCAAUCCGCUUUGAGAUGGCCUCGCGUCCGAUUAGCUAGUUGGUGAGGUAACGGCCCACCAAGGCGACGAUCGGUAGCCGGACUGAGAGGUUGAACGGCCACAUUGGGACUGAGACACGGCCCAGACUCCUACGGGAGGCAGCAGUGGGGAAUAUUGCACAAUGGGGGAAACCCUGAUGCAGCGACGCCGCGUGGAGGAAGAAGGUCUUCGGAUUGUAAACUCCUGUUGUUGAGGAAGAUAAUGGCGGUACUCAACAAGGAAGUGACGGCUAACUACGUGCCAGCAGCCGCGGUAAAACGUAGGUCACAAGCGUUGUCCGGAAUUACUGGGUGUAAAGGGAGCGCAGGCGGGAGAACAAGUUGGAAGUGAAAUCCAUGGGCUCAACCCAUGAACUGCUUUCAAAACUGUUUUUCUUGAGUAGUGCAGAGGUAGGCGGAAUUCCCGGUGUAGCGGUGGAAUGCGUAGAUAUCGGGAGGAACACCAGUGGCGAAGGCGGCCUACUGGGCACCAACUGACGCUGAGGCUCGAAAGUGUGGGUAGCAAACAGGAUUAGAUACCCUGGUAGUCCACACCGUAAACGAUGAUUACUAGGUGUUGGAGGAUUGACCCCUUCAGUGCCG